rnacentral:lncRNA from 1 species
UAGAGAGUCUCCGUCUCUGUUAUUUAGAUUGACAUAAUGAUGUCUCAGAACUGGAACUGAAGUUGACUGACCUUGGACAAAUCAGCAUCCACUCGGAAUCCAGCACAAUGGUGACUGAGCCCUUUGUGCUCUCUGCUUCCAAGAGUCACAUUUCUGUCCUGUGAAUCUCGUCUAGAAUUCUUGGACUCCUUCCUCUUGAUAAAGUCAACACGAUAUGUCUCUCCCUUCCGAGUUCCUGUCCCCCACACUGCGGUCCCAAGGAUGCCAAUUCUAACUCCAUGAACAAUCGAGAGCCUAAUUCAAUUACACAGUAGCCAGGGCUUGUAUUUGCAAAGCCUGGCUCCUGUUCUGGUUGUUUUUCUUUCAGAAACAGACUUUUCUCAAAGGGAUGAUAUCCAUGCCUGUUACCACUAGAACUCUACCACACUUUUCUUUUUUCCUGCCUCACUCUGUGCUCUGUUAUGGGCUCUUGAGCUUCCUCCUCUGGUUUCAG